rnacentral:rRNA from 1 species
AUGCAAGUCGAACGGACAAUUAUUUAUAGCUUUUGGCUAUAGGCAAUUGUUAGUGGCAGACGGGUGAGUAAUGCGUAGGAAUCUACCUAGUAGUACGGAAUAGCCAUUAGAAAUGAUGGGUAAUACUGUAUAAUCCCCGCGGGGGAAAGAUUUAUCGCUAUUAGAUGAGCCUACGUUAGAUUAGCUAGUUGGUAAGGUAAUGGCUUACCAAGGCUAUGAUCUAUAGCUGGUCUGAGAGGACGAUCAGCCACACUGGAACUGAGAUACGGUCCAGACUCCUACGGGAGGCAGCAGUGGGGAAUAUUGGACAAUGGGCGAAAGCCUGAUCCAGCUAUGCCGCGUGAGUGAAGAAGGCCUUCGGGUUGUAAAACUCUUUCAAUAGGGAAGAUAAUGACGGUACCUAUAGAAGAAGUCCCGGCAAACUCUGUGCCAGCAGCCGCGGUAAUACGGAGGGGGCAAGCGUUGUUCGGAAUUAUUGGGCGUAAAGGGCACGUAGGUGGACUAGUAAGUUAAAAGUGAAAUACCAAAGCUUAACUUUGGAGCGGCUUUUAAUACUGCUAGACUAGAGG